GCAAGAGAUGUUUUGUUUAGCGGGAAUAUAACUUGAAUUAGAGAAAAGCAACCCAUCUGCAACCUCCUCUGCAUCAUCCGGAUCAUGAGCCUCUUCCGUUGGCCUCGUUCCUUUAACAUCCAAGGGAUUUUCAGGACUGGAGGCCCUAGUGCCCCUAUUGACCAAAAACUGGGGUGAGCAUAGACAGCUGAGUUUGGAGGAGAGGGCAUCAGCUGACAUGGGAGUACCUGCGGAGAUACUUUCUUCCCCCUUGCAAGGAUGUUCUUUCUCAUCGAGCUGAUUUGUUUUCUCCUGUGCACAUGCCUCUGUUGCAUGUUUCCAGCCCGUGCCCCCGCCAUCUUUCGGGCUGGGAGAGAGCUCUGGGUUCUCUGCUGAGCACAGGACUUCAACAGACGCAGAGCAGCAAAUCAUUCCGGAACAGUUUUUAGCGGAGAUUUGGUAAACAGCAGCGUCAUCUGGGGUACAGCUAGGAGGAAGAGAAUACACAGACAUGAUCCCUAUGCCAGAGAAACCACCUGCCCCGCAAGUACCAAGACAUGUGUGGAAAGAACAGAAAGGGAGAGAAGGAAAUAAGGUGGAGAGGCCAAAGGACCAGGUCAUUCCCCUGCUCCCCAGAAAACUCUCCCAACAAGAUUAAAAUUGCUGAAACAAACCCUGCAAUCUGACCGGACACCCUGAGGGCAGAGUUUGUGGGAGAGGAAGCUCAA